rnacentral:rRNA from 1 species
AGCGAACGCUGGCGGCAGGCUUAACACAUGCAAGUCGAGCGGGCAUAGCAAUAUGUCAGCGGCAGACGGGUGAGUAACGCGUGGGAACGUACCUUUGGUUCGGAACAACACAGGGAAACUUGUGCUAAUACCGGAUAAGCCCUUACGGGGAAAGAUUUAUCGCCGAAAGAUCGGCCCGCGUCUGAUUAGCUAGUUGGUGAGGUAAUGGCUCACCAAGGCGACGAUCAGUAGCUGGUCUGAGAGGAUGAUCAGCCACAUUGGGACUGAGACACGGCCCAAACUCCUACGGGAGGCAGCAGUGGGGAAUAUUGGACAAUGGGCGCAAGCCUGAUCCAGCCAUGCCGCGUGAGUGAUGAAGGCCCUAGGGUUGUAAAGCUCUUUUGUGCGGGAAGACAAUGACGGUACCGCAAGAAUAAGCCCCGGCUAACUUCGUG